rnacentral:rRNA from 1 species
AUUGAACGCUGGCGGCAUGCUUUACACAUGCAAGUCGAACGGUAACAGGCCGCAAGGUGCUGACGAGUGGCGAACGGGUGAGUAAUGCAUCCGAGCGCGCCCAGUCGUGGGGGAUAACGCAGCGAAACCUUCGCUAAUCCCCCAUACGAUCUCUGGAUGAAAGCGGGGGACCGAAACGCCUCGCUCGAUUGGAGCGGCCGAUGUCAGAUUAGGUAGUUGGUGGGGUAAAGGCCCACCAAGCCAACGAUCUGUAGCUGGUCUGAGAGGACGACCAGCCACACUGGGACUGAGACACGGCCCAGACUCCUACGGGAGGCAGCAGUGGGGAAUUUUGGACAAUGGGCGCAAGCCUGAUCCAGCAAUGCCGCGUGCAGGAAGAAGGCCUUCGGGUUGUAAACUGCUUUUGUACGGAACGAAACGGUCCGGGUUAAUACCCUGGGCUAAUGACGGUACCGUAAGAAUAAGCACCGGCUAACUACGUGCCAGCAGCCGCAGUAAAAC